UACGUAGGGUGCAAGCGUUGUCCGGAAUUACUGGGUGUAAAGGGAGCGUAGGCGGGACUGCAAGUCAGAUGUGAAAACUAUGGGCUUAACCCAUAGACUGCAUUUGAAACUGUGGUUCUUGAGUGAAGUAGAGGAUGGCGGAAUUCCUAGUGUAGCGGUGAAAUGCGUAGAUAUUAGGAGGAACACCAGUGGCGAAGGCGGCCAUCUGGGCUUUUACUGACGCUGAGGCUCGAAAGCGUGGGGAGCAAAC
rnacentral:rRNA from 1 species